CCUACGGGUGGCUGCAGUGGGGAAUAUUGGGCAAUGGGCGCAAGCCUGACCCAGCAACGCCGCGUGAAGGAAGAAGGCUUUCGGGUUGUAAACUUCUUUUAAGGGGGACGAACAAAUGACGGUACCCCUUGAAUAAGCCACGGCUAACUACGUGCCAGCAGCCGCAGUAAUACGUAGGUGGCAAGCGUUAUCCGGAUUUAUUGGGUGUAAGGGGCGUGUAGGCGGGAGCGCAAGUCAGAUGUGAAAACUCAGGGCUCAACCCUGAGCCUGCAUUUGAAACUGUGUUUCUUGAGUGUUGGAGAGGCAAUCGGAAUUCCAGGUGUAGCGGUGAAAUGCGUAGAUAUACGGAGGAACACCAGUGGCGAAGGCGGAUUGCUGGACAGUAACUGACGCUGAGGCGCGAAAGCGUGGGGAGCAAACAGGAUUAGAUACCCGUGUAGUC
rnacentral:rRNA from 1 species